rnacentral:lncRNA from 1 species
UCCAAACAACAUGGAGAAAAACGUUGUGUACUGCCUGCUGUGCAACGAGCCCCAGCUCUCCAUUUCGACUCACCUGAGCAGAGUGUGCCUGAAAGACGGCACAGCACAGGAGAGGGAGCAAGAAGCUUCCAGAGCUACUGCCUCCCAGGAGCUGUUUUCCAAGGAAGGCCGACUAUGGAGCAUCUCGGAGCUGCAGGAGUUUUGCAAGGAUGCAACAUCUUGCAUCAAACUCUGCAGUCGCCUUCAGAGUCGUGGCUUUAUCUUCACAGACGCUCCCCAAACCUGGCCAACAGUGCUGCCAACACAGAGGUCUGAUAAGAAGGAAGUCCUCAUCGUGGCCAAAAAGGACAUCGAGUAUUUCCACCAAAAGCUUGCAGGCGGUGAUUGCAUCCCCAACGUUGCCAUGACAACGUUCAGGCAGUACUGCGAGGCCAUCCUGAUGUUACAGCACGGACUGACAUCAAGUGCUGUUCAGGAUUUUUCUGUGCAGGACUGGAUGGAGCGAAGGGAAAGCUUGAGGAUGACCAUCCAGGAAGAAGAACUGUUGGAGUGCUACUUUAAGAACAUCCGCCCAGUGUCCUUACGAAACCAAAGAGCUGGCAGUGAUGAUGGGGACAGGUUCUUCCUGGGAGAAGGUGGGGUCCCUCUGACCAACCCAGCAUUAGAUGUAGGGCGCCUGAGGGCCAGAUACCUGGGCAGCGACACUGAGGAUCCUGCAGCUGGGUCAGCGUCACACUCAGCAGGAGGAGCAGAAACCUCGGGACAGGCCAGGUCCAUUUCCACAAAGCGCCUACCACUCAGAGAAUGGGAUGCCUUCCAGCGGACCUUCCCAGUAACACUAAAUGGAGAGCCACCUUCAAAACGCCGGUGUGUACAGGCUGGUUUUCCACACUACCGAGCCCACUACCACAAGUGGAGGGAGCUUCAGCUUAAGCAGAGAGUUCAGCACAUCCUCGGUGUGAUCGCCCUGAUGCCCUUCAACAAAGGAGACGUCGUCUGCGACUACCACGGGACGUGCAUCACCAAAGCUUCAGGGAAUCGGAGGCGGCAGUCGGGGUCUCUCUUCUUCUACAGGGACGAGUGCCACAGGGCUGAUGCCACUGCGUCCCCCUGUGCCUGCCACCUGCACAAGGACUCCUAUGGAAGGCACAUCAACCAUUGCCAAAGGAAUCCAAACGUGAGGCCACAAAGGUUCACAAUGAACUUCCCUGCUGGUCCUCGGGAGAGUGUGCUGUUCAUCGCCCUGAGGGACAUCGCGGUUGGAGAGGAACUCCUGUGGGACUAUGGAGUCUAGAGAUGGCACCGUGUUUUAUGUCCUAUCAUACAUUUGGAUAUCGGCCCAUACCGACAUGACUCUAAUAUAGUGUAUUUCAUAUAAACAUGGGCCAUAAAAACUAAAAAACACCAUCAAUGGCCAGUCCAGCUGUGGCUCCAUAUAUCUUUCUCAGAGGUGAAAUGCAGGUUAACUCGGUCCAUCCCUGAUGGAGUCACCCAUAAAUCCUUCGACUGGACAUUUGACUUGAGUUGUCUUUGUUUUUUGUUUUGUCUGACCUUUUCUGAUUAAAAACAUGUAAAAAUGUGAUCUCUCAUGCAGCAUUUAAACAUGAUGCUUAUGUCCCUGAUAACUAAACCACUGUUGUUGUUUUUUACCAAUAAUAAAAACUAUUAUUAACACAAUCAGAAAUAAAUCUCCCUCCCAGGCCUUUAUAUACCAAACCCUGUGGUGACAGCUGCAGUGGACACUUCAGGGCUCAAAUUUUCUCUGAUUGGCUCCAACCUUGACAGGCUCAGCCUGCUGCUGCCAACAACACUCACUAAGUUUCCCCACCGAGCACCUCAGGCCUCUGCAGUUACUGAUGAUCAUCAACCCAAGUUGGAGAUUUCCAAUCAGAACACCCAAACACUUCAUUUUAACCUGAACUCUUUACUUUCAGCCCAACACUAAUGUGGCCCUAAGCUUAACUUCAGGUUCACACCACUGUGUAAACCCAGCUCCACUUGAACCCUCAAACACCAAACUAAUGUUUUUAUGGUCAUUUUCAUAAAAAUAUUGGAGACCACAUUUAACGUAAUUAACAAAAACAUCCAUGCCACAUCAUUAAAAACAGGCUUUGUUACAGGAAUUAUUUCAGAUUUGACAAACUGAGGCUCUCCACCCACUGAGGGACAGGCAGUGAGUACUGUGAAACCUGGUGAACCUCCUACAGAACACUCAUCAUUUAGAGUCUGACGGGGGUUGACACUAAAAUACUUUAAAUGUUUAGCAUCAAGAUUAGACCCUUGGAUCGCACAUUUGAUUUGCUUUGUAGGGUUCUAAUAUAAUUAAUGAGAGAUUUGAUGCUAACGAUGCAGCUUUAUUAUCACUGGACGCUCGUCAGGCCUUGGACAGAAUAGACUGGUCAGAUUUAUUUAACGUUCUCCCCAGAUAUGGAUUUGAUGAAGGCUUGUUGUACCUGCCGUAUGAAAGAGGGGGUUACAAUUCCUUAAUCUUAAAUUGCAUUACUGGUCUGCACAGAUGCGCUCAUCCAUGCUCUAUUUUUCCACAUAGACACCCCCAGCCUGGAUAAAAACUGAACAAAAAACUGUGACAAACCUUCAAUUAAAUCUGUAUUUAUACUCUGCAACCCCCCAAAAAUGUUUUUUUAAAACGUUUCCACUUGACAGAAAUGUGUUUUUGUUUGAGAUUUCCGAGGAUCGCACAGUGUCAUCCUCAUGAAAAGGAAACACCUUGUGGCGUCAGGUGAGCUGCAAAAGGUGCU